GCUUGCUUGUUGGGGUUGUAGGACACUCUAUACGGAGUUACAAAGGACGACAUUAGACGAAUCAUCUGGAAAGAUGAAUCAAAGAAGGUAAUAAUCCUGUAGUCGAAAAUGUUGUCUCUCUUGAGUGGAUCCUGAGUACGACGGAGCACGUGAAAUUCCGUCGGAAUCUGGGAGGACCAUCUCCUAAGGCUAAAUACUCUCUAGUGACCGAUAGUGAACCAGUACCGUGAGGGAAAGGUGAAAAGCACCCCGGAAGGGGAGUGAAAUAGAACCUGAAACCGUGUGCUUACAAGUAGUCAGAGCCCGUUAAUGGGUGAUGGCGUGCCUUUUGUAGAAUGAACCGGCGAGUUACGAUUUGAUGCAAGGUUAAGCAGUAAAUGUGGAGCCGUAGCGAAAGCGAGUCUGAAUAGGGCGUUUAGUAUUUGGUCGUAGACCCGAAACCAGGUGAUCUACCCUUGGUCAGGUUGAAGUUCAGGUAACACUGAAUGGAGGACCGAAC
rnacentral:rRNA from 1 species